rnacentral:rRNA from 1 species
GAUGAACGCUGGCGGCGUGCCUCAAACAUGCAAGUCGAGCGGGGCUAUGUAAUACCGCAAGGUAGAACAUAGCCUAGCGGCGAACGGGUGAGUAACACGUGGGUAACCUGCCUGGAAGACAGGGAUAACGAUUCGAAAGGGUCGCUAAUACCUGAUAAUAUCCUUUCAUCGCAUGGUGAUAGGAAGAAAGGGGAAACCCGCUUUCAGAUGGGCCCGCGUCCCAUCAGCUAGUUGGUAAGGUAAAGGCUUACCAAGGCGACGACGGGUAGCCGGUCUGAGAGGAUGUACGGCCACACUGGGACUGAGAUACGGCCCAGACUCCUACGGGAGGCAGCAGUUGGGAAUCUUAGGCAAUGGACGAAAGUCUGACCUAGCGACGCCGCGUGAGGGAAGAAGGCCUCGGUUGUAACUCUGUCAUGGGGAAGGAAGUAAGUGACGGUACCCAACGAGGAAGCCCUGCUAACUACGUG